rnacentral:rRNA from 1 species
GACAGAGGUGCCGAGCGUUAGGCGGAAUCACUGGGCUUAAAGCGUGUGUAGGCGGGUCGUUAAGUGUCUUGUGAAAUCCCACCGCUCAACGGUGGAACUGCUGGGCAUACUGGCGAUCUUGAGCCACCUAAGGGGCAGACGGAACAAGCGGUGGAGCGGUGAAAUGCGUAGAUAUCGCUGGAACGCCGACGGUGAAAACAGUCUGCCUG